CACACGUCCGGUCUUUGCUCCAACAUUACUUUGUUAGAAUUAUUUCCCAUUAUCGUCGCUAUUGAUUUGUGGUGUUUCAGAAUGUGAAACAGGCGUGUCUGCUUUUGGUCGGAUGAUAUGGCGGUUGUGCACUGUAUUAACAAAUUGACCUCUUCCUCCCAAUUAAACAUUUAUUUUUGGGCUUCCCAUGUUCUGGGAGUUGUCAAUGUUGCCGCUGACGCUCUCUCACGUUUUUGUUGUCAGGAAUUCCAGGAGCUUGUGCCAGAUACUGCACCAGAGAGUCUUCCGUGCCCUAUUCAGCUAUGGGAAAUACUGAUAAACAUCUGAUUCCCCUUGUUUCGAGCUUCAGUGGCGCCCGAGUCCUGGGCUGGUUAUGGUAAGGCAUGGGCGGACUGGAUAGCGUUAGCAUGUGACCUGCCGGUUCACACCUAUGUUUCCUCUCGACUUCGGGUUACCGUUGAUUAUUUGCUACUCUUACAUGCUGCGGGGGUUUCGGCGGUGGUUGCCCUGCGUCGGUUGUCGGGAAUUCGUUUUUACUUUCGACUGAAGAGGUGGUUGGACGUCACCAAGUUUUUCAUAGUUUGCCAAGCCCUUAAAGGGUGGCGAAAAGAGUAUGUUCGGAAGGAACGCAGGCGCCCUAUUUCAUAGCAGGUUCUCACUCAACUAGCUCAGGUGUUGGAACAGAUCUGCUCCUCUGCCGCCAAAGUUUUACUCUUCCGUGCUGUCCUUUGCCUCGCUUUUUUCGGCGCCUUUAGAACUGGCGAGCUUCUUCCUCAGUCCAAGUUUUGCCCCGGCGGCCUUGUUCCUGCUGACGUCUCUGUUUCUGUUUCCGACUCGUCUAUUCGCAUUUGUGUCUGACGCUUGAAAACUGACAGUUUUUUUCUUGUGGAUCCUGGGUUCCUUUGUACCGUAUCAAAGGCCCGGUUUGCUGUUUUUGUGCUGUAAUGGACUUCAAUGCCUCUCGGGGAGACGGUGCCUUUUUUUAUGCCAUGCCUCUGGCUUGCCUCUCACUCGUUUUCAGCUUUGCUCCGUUUUCCACCGUUCCCUUGUGCUCCUGGGUCUUCCGGCCACUGAGGCUGCUAGGGCUGGUUUACCGGAUUUGGAAGUACAGCGCAUUGGUAGGUGGAAAUCAGCAUGCUUUGCGUCUUAUGUUCGUCCUGAGCUAUUAUAGUUAUUUUCUGGGGCAUUCUUACAUUCUCUGGGCCGGGCAAAGAGCUUAGUUCAGGCCGGGUGGCCGAAGCCUGGGUUUUCCUGGAUGUGGAGGUCAUGUGGCGUGGCAUUCGCGGCCUUCGGUGGUCACAAGUACUUCCGGAGGCUGUUAACCUCAGUAAGGUGGUGCAAUCCCUAGUCAUCUUAGUUAUUCAUGCUGGGGAGAAUGACCUCUGCAUGCUCAAAGUUGCCGAGCUCAUCACCCUCAUUAGAGCUGAUUUGGAGAGCAUUCCUACCUUUUUUCCGGAAAUUAUUUUGGUUUGGUCAGAGAUGGUCUUCAGAGUUACUUGGCAGGGCACCAGGGACGCGGGGGCUAUUAAGAGAGGCAGACGUACUGUUAAUGCUAGGACCUCUCGUUUUGUUCGUUCCCAUGGGGGUGUGGUGGUCCGUCAUCACCAGCUUGAAGGGGACAACCAGCGCCUUAUGUGACCUGAUGGGGUGCACCUGAAUGAGAUUGGCCUAGAUAUUUUUCUUUCUGGCCUUCAAGACGCUGUAGAACAGGCCUUGUUUCUGUUGGGUGGGUGUCGGAGCACCAUGUUGAGGUACACGGGCUCCUCCAUGGAGGUCGGUUGAAAUAAAAUACUAAGAGCGGAGGAGAAGGUGGACUUGCCCACUGUGGUUUCAGUGGGGCAUAUCGCUUCUCACACUACUGGAAGUGGUUGUUGGCAUUUGAUAAAGUUGGGUGGUUUUUGUGAAGAACAAGUUAAAGAUAAAUAAAGCUGUGACCGACCCU